UCAACCAAAGUUUGUCUGGUCUGCAGAUGUUCAUUCAGCAGCGUCUCUCACAGUGAGUCCUGACAGAGUGCAACACUUCACCUCUGACUCUGUCUCACUGACCUGUGAGGGAAACUUCACUGAGUGGAGAGUGAGGAAGUUCUCUGAGGACGGCCGACUGUACUCUGACUGUAGGAGAAUGACUGGAUCCACAUGUAACAUCAACACAUCAGAGUCAGAUACUGGAGUGUACUGGUGUGAGUCUGGAUCAGGAGAGUUCAGCAGUGCAGUCAACAUCACUGUACAGAGGAACAUCCCAACUAUAUUUCCAGUCCUCAUAAUCACUCAGAAAACCAGGUCUGCAU